GGGACCUGCAAUCGUCCACAAAAUAUUUGAGACAAACCCCCUCCCCCGAUUUCAAUGUUGUUAGGCACUACAAUAUAGUUUAAUUCCAACAUCAUAUGUUAAAUUUCAACUGCCAGUGACACAGCUGCGGUGCUAGUGCCAUCUUAUGUUCGUUUUGGAUAAGUACAGUAGGCUUCAACAUUGAAAUAAGGGGGGAGGGGAUUGAUUUAAAAAGUCUCAAUAUAUUUUGUGGACGAUUGUCUUAAA